rnacentral:rRNA from 1 species
GAUGAACGCUGGCGGCGUGCCUAAUACAUGCAAGUCGAGCGAAUGGAUUAAGAGCUUGCUCUUAUGAAGUUAGCGGCGGACGGGUGAGUAACACGUGGGUAACCUGCCCAUAAGACUGGGAUAACUCCGGGAAACCGGGGCUAAUACCGGAUAACAUUUUGAACGGCAUGGUUCGAAAUUGAAGGGCGGCUUCGGCUGUCACUUAUGGAUGGACCCGCGUCGCAUUAGCUAGUUGGUGAGGUAACGGCUCACCAAGGCAACGAUGCGUAGCCGACCUGAGAGGGUGAUCGGUCACACUGGGACUGAGACACGGCCCAGACUCCUACGGGAGGCAGCAGUAGGGAAUCUUCCGCAAUGGACGAAAGUCUGACGGAGCAACGCCGCGUGAGUGAUGAAGGCUUUCGGGUCGUAAAACUCUGUUGUUAGGGAAGAACAAGUGCUAGUUGAAUAAGCUGGCACCUUGACGGUACCUAACCAGAAAGCCACGGCUAACUACGUGCCAGCCGCCGCGGUAA